rnacentral:rRNA from 1 species
UACGUAGGGUGCAAGCGUUGUCCGGAAUUAUUGGGCGUAAAGAGCUCGUAGGCGGUCUGUCGCGUCCGUUGUGAAAACUCGAGGCUCAACCUCGGGCUUGCAGUGGAUACGGGCAGACUAGAGUGCGGUAGGGGAGACUGGAAUUCCUGGUGUAGCGGUGAAAUUCGUAGAUAUUGGGAAGAACACCGAUGGCGAAGGCAGCCAUCUGGACCGACACUGACGCUGAGGCGCGAAAGCGUGGGUAGCAAACAGG